CAAUUUAAGGAUAUUUUCACCACGUAUCCCAUAUUUUCUCUUUCUAAACCCUUCUCUUCUGAUAACAAAAUUCAAAAAUCUUAAGCUCAUAGGUGGACCAGUACGUCAUGCACCACUGAUGCGGUGAUGCUACCGACUAUCACUUCCCAUCCACCGCUGUAAAUGGUGAAGUGAGGCAUCAUAUUUCUCAGUCAAUCAACGAUACCCACCUUUUGCUUCUAUGAGGAUUACCAUCGGUUUUCUAACUGUGCAUUACAGCCCGCAUGACAUAAAAGUGAGGUUACUGCAUUAAGCAAGUCGCUUGCUGCAAGUUCGAUCGACAAAGUACUCAAAGGAAAGACUAUGAAGAAUCUACCAAAUAUUUUGGAGGGUACUAUCUUCAACCAGUCUUUUCAUUCUGACGUAACAAGUAAUGAAUCACAUGAAGUCUAAGUCCAUCUUAGUGUUCACUUUCUUCCACAUUAGAGAAAAGAUUUGAGCCUUCUACUUGAAUACGUAUGCUAUAACACUACUAGACAACACUCUUGUACAAAGAAGUAACGUAGACCAAAAGUCGUCUUUUACUAUUGGAAUAAGAUCAUGAAUGUCAAAUACUACAUAUGCAGAAGAUGGUCCAGAGUGUGCGUAGAGGUAGUUGUGCUUUUUCCUGAUUAUUAUUGUUGAUGUCAUUUGAAGGUCUGAGAAUUCGGUGUGUUUGUAGAAUGCAGAGUCGUUGAAGUCAUAGCUGCUUUCUACUGCUAAUUUUGUCCUAUGAUUUCAGUUAGUUAUACAUUCAUCUAGGUACAGUGCAA